rnacentral:rRNA from 1 species
GACGAACGCUGGCGGCGUGCUUAACACAUGCCAGUCGAACGGAGAGGCCCUGCUUUUGUGGGGUGCUCGAGUGGCGAACGGGUGAGUAACACGUGAGUAACCUGCCCUGGACUUUGGGAUAACUUCAGGAAACUGGGGCUAAUACCGGAUAGGAGCUCCUGCUGCAUGGUGGGGGUUGGAAAGUUUCGGCGGUUGGGGAUGGACUCGCGGCUUAUCAGCUUGUUGGUGGGGUAGUGGCUUACCAAGGCUUUGACGGGUAGCCGGCCUGAGAGGGUGACCGGCCACAUUGGGACUGAGAUACGGCCCAGACUCCUACGGGAGGCAGCAGUGGGGAAUAUUGCACAAUGGGCGGAAGCCUGAUGCAGCAACGCCGCGUGCGGGAUGACGGCCUUCGGGUUGUAAACCGCUUUCGCCUGUGACGAAGCGUGAGUGACGGUAAUGGGUAAAGAAGCACCGGCUAACUACGUG